GGUUCCUGCCAAGGGCAUAACUCUUUCAGUGGGCCCAGGUCUGCUCGUACUGAAAUGCUGUUCUAGCUCAGUGAACCCGAGCGCUGCCUUCUGUUUUCCCAGGACAAGAGUUGUGAAAACACGCUGAAGAAUGCAUGCAGGCCAGGCUCCCAAAAGGCAGGCACUGGCUGCGUUCAUUGGAAGGACAGUGUGUUUGAGGACGGUACCACAACAUUACGAACCCCAAUUUGACCUGCAGGUUGCACACAACUGGCUUGCCUAGGCUGCACUGAGCUGGGAGGAACUCUCUUGGGCCACAGGCAAAGCAUGAAUCCACUCUGUCAAGUAGAGUGACCUUUCUUCUGUUGACCCUCCUGGGGCCCUUGCUUAGAAGAACCCUGUGGUGAGGAGCACAGCUGUGAUCCAGCUGCCUUGGGAUAGCAGCCACCAGACUCACAACUCCAGGAGAAACAACAGCAAUCAAGGAAACAGCAGCUCCUUCUGUAAACUGCCAUAUGAGUGUACCAGGGGCCUCCCUGUUAAAGACAUUGAAGCCUUAUGUAUCUUAUUCCAUACCACAGUCCUUUCCUUCUAUUGGAGUUGCAUCCAGGAAUACUGGCCCACUUUCUAAAUAUAUCUACAACUCGUAUUAUUGUCAUAACCAUUUCUAAUAAAAGAACUUCCUGCCACUGACUGUGUUCAUCCAUCAGGAAAUGGAUAUAAUAUUCUGAUCUGCUUAU